GAGGCUAUCAUUGUACUUCAUCAGAUUUAUGAACAUCUGCUAAGUCUUUUGGUACGAGCAAGGCUUUAUGCAGAUGCUCAGAGUCAUGGAACCACAAAACUGAUCAGCUAUUUUGCAGUGCUCACAUUUUGUUUGAUCUCAAAAACGGAAAAACUGAUGUUCAACAAGUACUUCCUGGAUCUGUGGAAUCUGUUUCAACCCAAGCUGUGUGAGCCCCAGAUCUCCAUGCAUCACAACAAACAGGCACUUCUGUUUUUCUGGUAUCAAGUAUGUAUGGAUUGUCCAGAGAAUAUCAAAUCCAUUGUUAGCAACUCAAAUGUGUGCAAACAAAUUGCCUACAAUUAUAUUCUAGCUGACCAUGAUGACCAAGAUGUGGUGAUGUUUAAUCGCAUAAUGCUGCCGUCGUACUACGGAUUGCUGCGGAUGUGUUGCCAGCAGUCACGCACUUUCACACGACAACUCGCCCAACAUCAGAACAUCCAAUGGGCCUUCAAAAACAUCUCCUGUCAUCCGGCUCAGUACACAGCAGCAGUGGAAGAGCUGUUUAAGAUGAUGAAGCUGAUGUCCACGAAGUACCCAGAUUCCUCGGAAGAGGAAGUCCAGGCUGUGAAUCAUUUCAAGCGGACUACAAUUCGUUUAUACCUGGAUUUCCUGGACGCUCGCUCGGGCUGGCAGACUCUUAUUAGUGCUUUGAAGAUUUUGAUUGACAAUCAGGACGACAGAUUACUGCUGCUGUAUCACAAAGGCCUACAGAUGAUAACCGAGGCUUUUAACACACUACAUGCCAUGUACCAUGAAGCCACUGCCUGUCAUGUAACAGCAGACAUUGUAGAUCUUCUAGGAAUACUCCUCCCUGUGCUCAAAGUAGCCCGGUAUUACCACGAACGGAAAGGCUCGGCGUCCAAUGAUAUGAACACUGUCCUACAGAACUGGAAAGAGAGGAUGGACUUCACCAAGAAGUUACUGACACUGCUUAAUUCAUACACACCCCCUGAUAUAAGGACCAGUGCUAUAGAUGUUCUACGUGAAAUGGUGCUAACCUACCAGAGUGAAUGUGUUCAUACAAUUGUUCCUGUCCUCACACAAGUCCAUCUAGCUUUCCAAGAAAGCAACAUACCUGUAUCCUCCCCCGGACCCUAUUUCCCUCGACGAGGCCAGAAGCCGAUUGGUCCAAAGUCCAACAUCCGUCCACCGCGCCCCCAGUUCAACAUGAUGUUACAUUCUAGUCAGAUAGAGGCCACAAAGGGAGUAGAUGAGAUGUACGAUGCUGCCUUGGCAGAAUUCUUCACUCCGUACCACAUGUUGGUGGAUCUCAUUUGCAGAGUGGCUGUCAAUCACCAAAGUCUUUCAGAACCCAUCAUCAACUUAAGUGCUAUGGUUGCCAUUGAAGGAGUUCCUUUGCAUUCUCCAUAUUUUGCGAAGUUGUGGUUUGAAAUCUACCAUUCUGAGGUUGAUAGAGCAUGCAUCAGGACCCUGUGUAACUGUAGCUACUUCAUUGAGUAUGUGGACUCAGUAUUACUAGACGAGAGGCUAUCCCUGAACAACUCCAACAUCUACCAGUUCUUCUGUAACUUCUUUCCAAAGGUUCAUCAACAAGUGUUGAGUGACCAGGGCCGGUCUUUGUUGGACAGUCUUGUGGCAUCAGUCACUGCAGAGAAAGCUGCCAUAGAAAACGUUCGCUACGAAAAGGAACUCAUUAGUAUAUGUCAGAGAGUAACUGGGGACUUGAGGGCCAUGCUGUUGAUAUUUUCGGUACAACCACCUAAGAAGCUGAACUCUCUGCUGGAGGACAGCCUACACUACAUUCUACAGGUGUGUCGGGAUCACCAGAAACAACAAGAGGUGGUGUCACAGUCCCAACCCCCCUCACUCAAACGCUCCAACUCUGAUCAGGGGCAGAGGCGGAAGGAAGACGACAAAGAGCAAGAAACCCCAUCCAAAAAACGUCGUGUAAGUGCUGACGAACAAAAAGAGAAAAAGACCGAGGACGAUAAGGCUGAGGAGCAGGGCAAAGAGUCUAGUUCAGAGCAACCUGCUAAGGAGUCCUCUGAGGGCAAAGUCCAGAGUAGUGCAGGAGAGGGCAGUCAAAGUGUAAAGAGUCCAGAGCAAAAUGAGGAACCUGAGGUCACACAGACGACAGAGGUCAAGGACGAGGAUGAACCUUGUUCCUCAGAUCAAGGUCAGAAAUCUGAGGCGGCCAACAGUGAGGAAACACCUCGCAGAAAAAAUGCCAGCAUGGUGGACAUGGUAGCGAAACAUAUAGAGAACUUGUUCACCCUGAUUGAAAAGAAACAGUAAAAUUGACGCAUGGAUUCAUCAUAUUUCAUAGUGUUUGUGGAAGGAAGAAAAAAGAUGCUGGCUGGUAUUCUUUUGGCUGAAACAAACCAAACCUUUACAAGACUUUAAACGCCGGAAACGCUGGAACAGCAAUUGUAAAGAUGUGAAAUGAUGGGAUGAUUAUAUUUAUUCUCAUGAUGUAUUGUUGACAAUGUACUAAUUAUGUCAUGUACAUUUGUGAAAUCUGCUUACAAUUGAUUUGAUGAACUGAGGGUACAUGUACCUUUGUUGAAGAUUAAGUGACCUGUAGAAGCUAACAUUUUCUUUAUCUUUUCUCAUCAUCAAAACACUUUACUGGAAAAAAUGUUGACUUGUGAAUUCAUCCUUUGCUACAUUGCUAAUGUUGCUAACCACUAGAAAAAAAGGGGGGGGGGGGGUUGUAGGAACUAACUAUAAUGGCCACAAUAAGGGUCCAAAUGAUUAAAAAAGGGGUAUAUAACAAAGAGUGCAUAAUUUUUUUUAAAAUGAAAUAACAAAGAACAAUAAUUGCUAACCUGCUUUUUGUCCAUGUUGUAUUGCAGAUCCUGACAAGUUCUGUGCACCUUGUGGGUGCUAUUAAAAUAUCACUGCCGAAUGUGUACAUUGUACACAAUGCCAGUUGUAUAUCCGAGUUGGAUGCCAUGUCCAUGAGGUGAAGAAGAGAGUGUGGGAGCGAGAGAAAGAUUGUUAUGUGUCUUACCACGGUUUUGUAUUUGAUGUGUGUUGUUAUACUUGUUCUCUUCAAUCUUCAUACCAAAAAAAAAAAUGAACCAAAAUUAAAAAUACAUUAAUAGG
rnacentral:misc_RNA from 1 species